AAGCUCACUUCAGCAGCACAUAUACUGAAAUGGGAAUGAUACAGAGAAGAUUAGCAUGGCCCCUGAACAAGGAUGAUAUGCAAAUUCAUGAAUUGUUCCAUAUUUUA
rnacentral:snRNA from 1 species